AUGCAGUCGAGCGAACAGAUAAGGAGCUUGCUCCUUUGACGUUAGCGGCGGACGGGUGAGUAACACGUGGGUAACCUACCUAUAAGACUGGAAUAACUUCGGGAAACCGAAGCUAAUGCCGGAUAACAUGUAGAACCGCAUGGUUCUACAGUGAAAGAUGGCCUUGCUAUCACUUAUAGAUGGACCCGCGCCGUAUUAGCUAGUUGGUAAGGUAACGGCUUACCAAGGCAACGAUACGUAGCCGACCUGAGAGGGUGAUCGGCCACACUGGAACUGAGACACGGUCCAGACUCCUACGGGAGGCAGCAGUAGGGAAUCUUCCGCAAUGGGCGAAAGCCUGACGGAGCAACGCCGCGUGAGUGAUGAAGGUCUUCGGAUCGUAAAGCUCUGUUAUUAGGGAAGAACAAGUGCGUAAGUAACUGUGCGCACCUUGACGGUACCUAAUCAGAAAGCCACGGCUAACUACGUGCCAGCAGCCGCGGUAAUACGUAGGUGGCAAGCGUUAUCCGGAAUUAUUGGGCGUAAAGCGCGCGUAGGCGGUUUCUUAAGUCUGAUGUGAAAGCCCACGGCUCAACCGUGGAGGGUCAUUGGAAACUGGGAGACUUGAGUGCAGAAGAGGAAAGUGGAAUUCCAUGUGUAGCG
rnacentral:rRNA from 1 species